GAUGAACGCUGGCGGCGUGCCUAACACAUGCAAGUCGAGCGAUUCUCUUCGGAGAAGAGCGGCGGACGGGUGAGUAACGCGUGGGUAACCUGCCCUGUACACAUGGAUAACAUACCGAAAGGUAUGCUAAUACGAGAUAAUAUGCUUUUAUCGCAUGGUAGAAGUAUCAAAGCUUUUGCGGUACAGGAUGGACCCGCGUCUGAUUAGCUAGUUGGUAAGGUAACGGCUUACCAAGGCGACGAUCAGUAGCCGACCUGAGAGGGUGAUCGGCCACAUUGGAACUGAGACACGGUCCAAACUCCUACGGGAGCAGCAGUGGGGAAUAUUGCACAAUGGGCGAAAGCCUGAUGCAGCAACGCCGCGUGAGCGAUGAAGGCCUUCGGGUCGUAAAGGCUCUGUCCUCAAGGAAGAUAAUGACGGUACUUGAGGAGGAAGCCCCGGCUAACUACGUGCCAGCACGCCGACGGUAAAAGUACUCUAU
rnacentral:rRNA from 1 species